UUCGAAAUAAUAAGUGAAGCGGAGCGGUUCACUCCCGCCAGUGUCGUCGGGUCUAUUCUGUGGUGCACCCGUGCUUGGGGUUCUGUGCCUUCUUGAAAGAUUGUGGACAAGGUGAAGCAGAAAUGCUUAAGCCCUACCAAUAUCGUGUUCCCAGCAGUCUAGCGGAUGCUGUCAGUGGUGCAGGAUCGUUGAAGUCUUGUGGUCUUGGCGAAGGAAGUAAUGGCGAAGGGAACAAGUGGUGAGCAGCUGAGGAAGAAGUGGCUGGCUGUGCGAUGGCUACGUGAAGGCGAUAACGGAAGGCGGCGAUGAGGAGCGCAACAUCUGUCAGUCUGUCAGCUUUUCUAAACACAUCUCGUUAAGCUGAACGAUAAAAAAAAAAAAAAAAGCUA